CCUACGGGUGGCAGCAGUGGGGAAUAUUGGACAAUGGGAGCAACCCUGAUCCAGCCAUGCCGCGUGUGUGAAGAAGGCCCUCGGGUUGUAAAGCACUUUCAGUGAGGAAGAACGCCUGGUGGUUAAUACCCAUCAGGAAAGACAUCACUCACAGAAGAAGCACCGGCUAACUCCGUGCCAGCAGCCGCGGUAAUACGGAGGGUGCGAGCGUUAAUCGGAAUUACUGGGCGUAAAGCGCGCGUAGGUGGCUUGAUAAGCCGGUUGUGAAAGCCCCGGGCUCAACCUGGGAACGGCAUCCGGAACUGUCAAGCUAGAGUGCAGGAGAGGAAGGUAGAAUUCCCGGUGUAGCGGUGAAAUGCGUAGAGAUCGGGAGGAAUACCAGUGGCGAAGGCGGCCUUCUGGACUGACACUGACACUGAGGUGCGAAAGCGUGGGUAGCAAACAGGAUUAGAUACCCCGGUAGUC
rnacentral:rRNA from 1 species